CCUACGGGUGGCUGCAGUGGGGAAUAUUGGACAAUGGGCGAAAGCCUGAUCCAGCCAUGCCGCGUGUGUGAAGAAGGCCUUCGGGUUGUAAAGCACUUUCAGUGGGGAAGAAAGCCUUGGGGCUAAUACCCUCGAGGAAGGACAUCACCCACAGAAGAAGCACCGGCUAACUCCGUGCCAGCAGCCGCGGUAAUACGGAGGGUGCGAGGUUAAUCGGAAUUACUGGGCGUAAAGCGCGCGUAGGCGGUCUGAUAAGCCGGUUGUGAAAGCCCCGGGCUCAACCUGGGAACGGCAUCCGGAACUGUCAGGCUAGAGUGCAGGAGAGGAAGGUAGAAUUCCCGGUGUAGCGGUGAAAUGCGUAGAGAUCGGGAGGAAUACCAGUGGCGAAGGCGGCCUUCUGGACUGACACUGACGCUGAGGUGCGAAAGCGUGGGUAGCAAACAGGAUUAGAUACCCCCUGUAGUC
rnacentral:rRNA from 1 species